AUUCUUUUGCUCCGCUCCGUCCUGCCUGCUUCGGAGCUCUGCCUUCCAGCCGGGCUCGGCUGUGCUUUGUCCGGAGAUGGCGAGCGAAGGGAAGCCCCGGCCAGGCCAGGCCUGGCGGCUCCCGCUGGAGAUUGGGCGCGCUCCGUUCCCGGCGCCGCGGCAGCAGCUUUGCAACUCGCAACCUGGCUAAUUUCCUGCGUCCUCUGGCACCAGGAAAGAGGACAAUUCUUCUCUCGGGCUGCCCAAGCGACAGCUGUCAGAGGGGCAGGAGCUUCUGGGAGCCACCGUCUGAAGGCUACGUGUGCCGCCUGGCCAUUCAAACUGUCAAUUUUAGGUCCAGAAGUGUCCAAACCACAAGUUCUCAAAACUCUCUGAAAAAUGGCUCCCUCCGAGUUAAGGUCUUGGAGCUGGAGAAGGAGUUCCACUUCAAUCGAUACCUGACCCGGCGGCGCCGCAUCGAGAUCGCCCACACGCUCUGUUUGUCUGAGCGCCAGGUCAAGAUCUGGUUUCAGAACCGGAGGAUGAAGUGGAAGAAAGACCACAAACUGCCCAACACCAAGAUGCGAUCCUCCAAUUCGGCCUCGGCCUCUGCCGGCCCACCAGGGAAAGCACAAACUCAGAGCCCACACCUCCAUCCCCACCCCCACCCGAGCACCUCCACACCCGUUCCCUCCUCCAUAUAAUCUUCUAGAGAUCUUAACCAGUUUCUAUCCCUUACCUGCUUUUCUCUUCUCUUCUCCUGCUCCGUUCCUCAUCCACCCCUCCCCAUCUGGACCAUAAUAGACACCAAAACAAACCCAAAUUGGUGAAAAGAAUAAUCAAAAAGAAGACAUUAUCCGGUUAAGAGUCUGUGCUGGUUGCCACCCAAGAGAGAACAGUUGUCCAGGAUGCUGGCUGGUGGAACAACCUGCUGGCCCGAAACAAGGCUGCCAGGUGUGG
rnacentral:lncRNA from 1 species